CCCGCAGCUGCUGGAGCUGCUCAACCAGCUGGACGAGCGCAGGCGUAGGUGCCCGCGCCACGGGGCCUCGGCUCAGGGGCAGCCAGGUGUUGUGAGCGCCGUCCUGGGCCAGGGCCUCCCCUGAGGGUGCUGAGCUCUUGUGAGUCCUUCAUUGGGGCCGUGACUUCCUCCAGAGAGUCUCAAUGGGAGGUGGUCUCAGUGAUGACCAUGCCCUGCCCUGCCCUGCCCUGCCCAGGACCCUCUGCCUGCCUCCCCCAGAGACCAGCACCUUCAGAGCCCUCUGCAGAAGGUUGGGCACAGGGCGGCCCAUCUGCGUGUCCGUUCCACCCAGGAGCUUCUCGGCACUGUGCCGGAGUGGUCAGGGUUGCUCUGUCGUCUGCCCACAGUGUACUAUGAGGGGCUGCAGGACAAGCUGGCACAGAUCCGCGAUGCCCGGGGGGCGCUGAGUGCCCUACGCGAAGAGCACCGGGAGAAGCUUCGCCGGGCAGCCGAGGAGGCAGAGCGCCAGCGCCAGAUCCAGCUGGCCCAGAAGCUGGAGAUAAUGCGGCAGAAGAAGCAGGUGCAGUGGCUGCCCAGCCACGGGCCGGGGCCGGCUGGGGGACCUUGCAGCAUAACCAGCAUGUUUUUGCCGCACAGGAGUACCUGGAGGUGCAGAGGCAGCUGGCCAUCCAGCGCCUGCAGGAGCAGGAGAAGGAGCGGCAGCUGCGGCUGGAGCAGCAGAAGCAGACGGUCCAGAUGCGCGCGCAGAUGCCCGCCUUCCCCCUGCCCUACGCCCAGGCAUGUGCCAUCCUCCCGCCACCCAGAGGCUCGUGGGCUGAGGACCAACUCUCACCACUGUCUCCUUCGUCCCCAGCUCCAGGCCAUGCCCGCAGCCGGAGGCGUGCUCUACCAGCCCUCGGGACCAGCCAGCUUCCCCAGCACCUUCAGCCCUGCCGGCUCGGUGGAGGGCUCCCCAAUGCACGGCGUGUAUAUGAGCCAGCCGGCCCCUGCCGCUGGCCCCUACCCCAGCAUGCCCGGCACUGCGGCUGGUAAGGAUGGGUCGGGGCAGAGACCAUGCUUUUUAUCCCUCGUCUUUAUUUUAGCCGAAUUUACAGAAAAGCAGUAAGAAUGGUGCGAAGGGUUUUCCCAGUUGCCCCGAUGUGAAUGUUGUCCCUGCUUUUUCCUGUUUCCACGCAAACGCGCUCACACAGGCUUUCCUGCUGGAGCCGUGUUUCAGUCCGUGCGUGGCAGGUACUGCCAUCUCCCCUGAAUGCGACAGCGAGCAUUUCCUGAAACCAGCAGGUGCUGGGCUGCCGAUCCUCGUCUGUAGCAGGCUCAGCCCUCAUGGACUGUCCCAGUGGUGUCCUGUAAACAGCACGCCCCCUGCUGCGUGGCAUUUGCCCCCCCCCCGCCUUUAAUCUAGAGUGUUCCCCAGUCAGCUUUUGUGUUUUGUGACAUCAACUGUCCCAAGAGCACUGGCCUGUCAUUCGGCAGACCGUCCUCAGCUCAGGUUUGUCUGGUGUCUCCACGCGGUGACCAUAAGGCUGUGCUUUUCUCAGAGUGGCAGCCGAGGUGACGUGCAUCCCGUCAGUCCCAUUGCUGGCUGUUCAGCUGAGACGGGGUCUGCCAGGGGUUUUCACUGUGAAGUGACUGUUUUGCCCUUUAUCAGAUGUCUCUUGGGGGAGGCCUUCCAAAUACCCUGGGACUCCUCAAGGUCUAGCAUUUUUUGCUAAUGUUGCCUGUGUUUAUUACGGUGUUUGCCAAAUAGCGCCUUCUAAUUCUGCUGUUGUUUUUCCACUGGCGGGAGGUACUCUCCCCACUCUCCUGCUUAUCGUCAGUCACAGCGGCGUGGAGACGUGUUUAUUUUUUCUUUCAAAGGUGACACUCCUCUGUCAUCACUCUUUAUUUUUAAUCUCACUGUCAUCCAGGCUGGAGUGGAGUGCCAUGAUCAUGGUUCACUGCAGCCUCGACCUCCUGGGCUCAAGCAAUCCUCCCAUCUCAGCCUCUUGAGUAGCUGGGACUACAGGAUUGCACCACCAUGCCUGGCUAAUUAAAAAAAAAAAAAAAAAAGGGCUGGGUGCGGUGGCUCACGCCUGUAGUCCCAGCAGGUUGGGAGGCUGAGGCAGGUGGGUCAUGAGGUCAGGAGUUCAAGACCAGCCUGCCAGGAUGGUGAGACCCUGUCUCUACUAAACAUACAAACAUUAGGUGGGCGUGGUGGCACGUGCCUGUAAUCCCAGCUAUUCAGGAGGCAGAGGCAGAGAAUGAAUUGAGCCCGGGAAGUGGGGGUUGCAGUGAGCCGAGGUUGCACCACCACACUCUAGCCUGAGCAACAGAGUGAAACUCCAUCUCAAAAAAAAUGUAGAAAUGAGGUCUUUCUGUGUUGCCCAAGCUGACCUCAAACUCCUGACC
rnacentral:sRNA from 1 species